UAAUACUGUCAGGUAAAGAUGUCUAU
rnacentral:ncRNA from 2 species